rnacentral:lncRNA from 1 species
CACAAGGAGGGCACCGCCGCCAAGGAGCCCGGCGAGGGUGAUGGCCCAGAUCAGAAGCCCGGUUUUUCCUAUAUAAUAUAAAGACCAACAAGGAGAUUGAACCAUCAUAAACAUUUGUUUCAACUCUCUGCUACUGGUAAUUUCCAUCAUUUUUAAGAUGUGCAUGCUAACUGAAAUUACUAACAACCUAGCAUACAUAGCUAAGAUCUGGUGCUUAAUUUCUGCGGUAUACUCAUAGCAAAAUAUUCUGGACAAGUGAGAGUGAAAUUACUACUUACCGCCGACGUAGACGUCACCGCUGGGAGACCAGUCCUCCUCCUUGUAGAUUGGGCUGUAAAUUGAUUGGCAAACAAAACCUUAAUCAGCCACUAAUGUUCACACAACAGCUACAUGAUCCUUCUAAACAAACAAAGAAACAUGGAUCUUCAUGCCUAGCUAGUAGCUACAUGCAUGCAUGUCUUGGUCACUGGCUGAGCUAGCUCACCUGUAUCCGUCGACGUUGGCGCCGUACUUGUCAACGAACUGGUACACGCCCUUGCCCUGCAUCCACCCAAAAAAAAAAUGAAAAUUUUCAGUUUAUGCGCCAUGAAGAAUCACCAAAUUUCCACUGAAAUCUUCCGGUGAAUUCAGUGACUAGAUUCUUGUGCUCCAAACGGUUUCGAGUCAGAAAGAAAUUAAGCGGAAGAGGCCCUCCUCACCUUGACCUUCCUCCCGGAGGCAUCGACGUCGACGGUCAGGCCACCCCCAAUCCCGAAGGGCUUGUCGGUCUUGAUCUUCUUGCCGGUGCCGCAGACGACGGCGAAGGAGGAGGCGCGGCGGCCGAGGGACGGCAGGCCCUGGGCCCUGGCCGGCGCCGCCAGAGUCGACGAGGAGAUCAUGGAGGCUGCCAUUGCUGCUGUAGCUGUAGCUGUAGCUGCUUCGGUUCACUCGCUCUUGCUGCUAUGCCUGCCGGAUGCAGAGCCUCCAGGAAGCUACACGGAGCCAAUAUACUUGUGGCGCCAAAACCUGUGGAUAAUGCCAGGAGGACAGGUGCGACCGCCGUGGCGCCACGUGGCGGGGCACGGUUGGCC